rnacentral:tRNA from 1 species
GGGGAUGUGUCUCAAGUGGUAGAGCGAUCACCUAGCAUGCGUCAGACACUGGGUUCAAUUCUCAGCACCACA